rnacentral:rRNA from 1 species
GACGAACGCUGGCGGCGUGCUUAACACAUGCAAGUCGAGCGGUAAGGCCCUUUCGGGGGGUACACGAGCGGCGAACGGGUGAGUAACACGUGGGUGACCUGCCCUCAGCUCUGGGAUAAGCCUGGGAAACCGGGUCUAAUACCGGAUAUGACUCCAUGACGCAUGUUGUGGGGUGGAAAGCCUUGUGCGGCUGAGGAUGGGCCCGCGGCCUAUCAGCUUGUUGGUGGGGUGANGGCCUACCAAGGCGACGACGGGUAGCCGGCCUGAGAGGGCGACCGGCCACACUGGGACUGAGACACGGCCCAGACUCCUACGGGAGGCAGCAGUGGGGAAUCUUGCGCAAUGGGCGAAAGCCUGACGCAGCGACGCCGCGUGAGGGAUGACGG